CAGCACAGAAUACUAAUAAUAAGAAAUGCAAUCUCCCUACUAAUCUGUGGAAACAAAAUAGCCGCCAUCUUGAUUAGGUCCGCACUAGCGACACCAACGGGCAAAGUGAGAAAUAGGCUUUCUUCAGGGCGGGAAAAUUUGAAAUUACCGCAGGAAAGUUUGAAAUGUGAAAAAUCUUGCAUCAACUGCACAAAACAAACACAAUAAAGCUUUGUACAGCUGCCUGAGAGGAUCCUUCCUCACAGGAGACACUGCAAGGGUCCGCACUCAAACAGUAGUGUCAGAUU